rnacentral:rRNA from 1 species
GACGAACGCUGGCGGCGUGCUUAACACAUGCAAGUCGAACGGAAAGGCCCUGCUUUUGUGGGGUGCUCGAGUGGCGAACGGGUGAGUAACACGUGAGUAACCUGCCCUUGACUUUGGAAUGACUUCAGGAAACUGGGGCUAAUACCGGAUAGGAGCUCCUGCUGCAUGGUGGGGGUUGGAAAGUUUCGGCGGUUGGGGAUGGACUCGCGGCUUAUCAGCUUGUUGGUGGGGUAGUGGCUUACCAAGGCUUUGACGGGUAGCCGGCCUGAGAGGGUGACCGGCCACAUUGGGACUGAGAUACGGCCCAGACUCCUACGGGAGGCAGCAGUGGGGAAUAUUGCACAAUGGGCGGAAGCCUGAUGCAGCAACGCCGCGUGCGGGAUGACGGCCUUCGGGUUGUAAACCGCUUUCGCCUGUGACGAAGCGUGAGUGACGGUAAUGGGUAAAGAAGCACCGGCUAACUACGUG